rnacentral:rRNA from 1 species
GCAAGUCGAACGAGAAAGCACCUUCGGGUGUGAUUAAAGUGGCAAACGGGUGCGUAACACGUGGGAAUCUACCUAUUGGUUCGGAAUAGCCCCGGGAAACUGGGAUUAAUACCGGAUAAGGACUACGGUCGAAAGAUUUAUCGCCGAUAGAUGAGCCCGCGUUAGAUUAGCUAGUUGGUAAGGUAAGAGCUUACCAAGGCUACGAUCUAUAGCUGGUCUGAGAGGAUGAUC